rnacentral:misc_RNA from 1 species
AAGUCGUAACAAGGUUUCCGUAGGUGAACCUGCGGAAGGAUCAUUAUCACGUAUCCACGUAUAAACCAUUGUGAACUAGUAUCUUUUAUCCUUUGAAGAGAGUGAGGUAGUGGGAUUAUAAACAUAUGGAACUCUAUUUCUUGUGAUUUGUAGUUUCGUUUAUAAUCUCCAAUGUGUUUUAAGAUUUUCUAAAUCUUUUUUCACAUACUCGUUCACUUUAAAGUGUAUUUUAAAUCACUUGUUAUUUUAUAUUAACAUUUUAAACUCAAUUUUAUAAACUUUGAACUGACUUUAUUUCUUACUCUUCGGAGAAGAAAUUUCAUUACGAAACAUAAGAACAACUCUUAGCAACGGAUAUCUUGGUUCUC